AUCUAACUCUUGGAAAGAGCAAAUGAGCGUAUUUCCUAAAUGUCUACUUCUUUUUAAAUGACUUGAUGUGCUCACAGGGAAAAACACAAUCACUUUCUAGAGUCUGUUUACAUUUUAAAAAUAUUUGACAUGUUUUUAUUGCACAUUUCUAUUUAAUAUUUAAGCUGGGGUUUUGUCGGGAUGUUUCAUUUUUUAUUUAUUUUAUUGUAUUGACUCUUCUGUGAAGCAAACUAUGUAAAACCUUCAACAUGUUCUGACUGUGUAGCACUUUUCUGGAUGUUUGUCCUUAUCUUUAUCAUUUCAAAUAAAGUUUAAAAGGGGAACGUGAUGCUCAGUGUUGUAGUUUUCUCUUUCUGCUCUGAUUCUGUGUCUACUUUAUGAUUUACAGCGGUGAAGAAAGUUCAUAAAUCCUUUAUUGAAGUCAAAGUGUGAAAGGCUAAAUUAAAAACCCACCAAGGUGUUCUGCAUCAAACAUUUCAGCAAUAACAUCACGUGAUCACGGUCAUUAGUACUCCAUCCAGUCUGAGGUUACAUGUUAAUGUACUGCUCUGUACUGUAAACUAGUCUCAGAGU